UACGUAGGGUGCGAGCGUUGUCCGGAAUUAUUGGGCGUAAAGGGCUCGUAGGCGGUCUGUUGCGUCAGGAGUGAAAACUCGGGGCUUAACCCCGAGCCUGCUUCUGAUACGGGCAGACUAGAGGUAUGCAGGGGAGAACGGAAUUCCUGGUGUAGCGGUGAAAUGCGCAGAUAUCAGGAGGAACACCGGUGGCGAAGGUGGUUCUCUGGGCAUUACCUGACGCUGAGGAGCGAAAGUGUGGGGAGCGAACAGG
rnacentral:rRNA from 1 species